ACUAAUCUCGUUGGUUGAGGCAAUAUUGGUCAAAUUAACUGUGACAUUGGUAACUAUUAAACAAACAAAUUGGUUAUCUAACAACUAAUAUCAUUGGUUAAGAACAAAUUGGUUGAUUUAACAAAGAUAUUGGUUAACUUUAAUAACACAUUGGUUGAAAAAUGACUAAUAUCAUUGGUUAAGCAAAUGUUUACUAAGAGAUUGGUAACUGACGCAGGUCUGACGCUCAACGUCAAGUACGUAACUCUGCUUCUCAAUUUUCUGACAAAGCCGCCAUCUUGGUGCUGCAGGAAAGCCGUUUGAGAUAUUGGUGAAAUUCAAACACUUUGUGAGAUGACAGAAUAUUGCUGAAGGAUCCUACAUGGAAGCUGGCUGAUUACACAGAGUGAUUCCUCUGGUGUGGUGUACCUCAGAGAAAUAAACACUGUUGCAAGAGCUGAGAAGAUGGCCAAGAUAUCCUUAUUGCUGGAUGGUAGCUCUCUGGUCGUAGUGGACCAUGUCUGCAAAUGCUUCUGAACAUUGAC